UAGGGAAUCUUCGGCAAUGGACGAAAGUCUGACCGAGCAACGCCGCGUGAGUGAAGAAGGUUUUCGGAUCGUAAAACUCUGUUGUUAGAGAAGAACAAGGACGUUAGUAACUGAACGUCCCCUGACGGUAUCUAACCAGAAAGCCACGGCUAACUACGUGCCAGCAGCCGCGGUAAUACGUAGGUGGCAAGCGUUGUCCGGAUUUAUUGGGCGUAAAGCGAGCGCAGGCGGUUUCUUAAGUCUGAUGUGAAAGCCCCCGGCUCAACCGGGGAGGGUCAUUGGAAACUGGGAGAUUUGAGUGCAGAAGAGGAGAGUGGAAUUCCAUGUGUAGCGGUGAAAUGCGUAGAUAUAUGGAGGAACACCAGUGGCGAAGGCGGCUCUCUGGUCUGUAACUGACGCUGAGGCUCGAAAGCGUGGGGAGCAAACAGG
rnacentral:rRNA from 1 species